rnacentral:rRNA from 1 species
GUGAGGAAUUUUCCGCAAUGGGCGAAAGCCUGACGGAGCAAUGCCGCGUGAAGGAUGAAGGCCUAUGGGUUGUAAACUUCUUUUCUCAGAAAAGAAUUAUGACGGUAUCUGAGGAAUAAGCAUCGGCUAACUCUGUGCCAGCAGCCGCGGUAAGACAGAGGAUGCAAGCGUUAUCCGGAAUGAUUGGGCGUAAAGCGUCUGUAGGUUGUUUAAAAAGUAUUCUGUCAAAGAUUAGGGCUUAACCCUAGAUAGGCAGAAUAAACUUUUAAGCUAGAGUUUGGUAGAGGCAGAGGGAAUUCCCGGUGGAGAGGUGAAAUGCGUAGAUAUCGGGAGGAACACCAAAGGCGAAGGCACUCUGCUGGGCCAAUACUAACACUGAGAGACGAAAGCGAGGGGAGCAAAUGGGAUUAGAUACCCGUGUAGUCC